UACGUAGGCAGCAAGCGUUGUUCGGAGUUACUGGGCGUAAAGGGUGCGUAGGCGGUUGUUUAAGUUUGGUGUGGAAUCUCCCGGCUCAACCGGGAGGGUGCGCCGAAUACUGAACGGCUAGAGUGCGGGAGAGGAGAGUGGAAUUCCUGGUGUAGCGGUGAAAUGCGUAGAUAUCAGGAGGAACACCGGUGGUGUAGACGGCUCUCUGGACCGUAACUGACGCUGAGGCACGAAAGCGUGGGUAGCAAACAGG
rnacentral:rRNA from 1 species